GAGACAGAAAGGAUGGAGACAUAGUACAGGAAGACAAAAGCGGUAGAAAGAAAAAGAUAGAGAGUCCGAUUAGGAAGGAGAGAAGGGAGUUUUGAGUGAUAGCGAACAUACUGUAGAUGAAAGCUUUCGAAGGAGUGGGAUGCUGAGAAGCAUCAGCGCUGUCAGAGCAUGUUCAGCCCUCAGGGACAGCCGGGGGGCGGCCGUCAGCCUUUAUUUGGAGAGCAGAGGGUUUUCUGCACUACCUGCAGCCCUGGAAUCAGCUGACAGGUUAAGUCAUUGUGCUUGACCAGCCUGGCAUCAGAUCAUCGGCCUUAAAGUGAGGGAGCAGAGAAGGAAGACGCUGUGUGCAAACUGCCCUCCAGUGGAGACAGUGUGUACUUCACGCACGUUGAUCCCUUGCCCUCCAUUUAGUGUUUCUUAAUGUUAGCCACCCCCACUACUGCUGCAGUCAGUUGUAUUCAUUGUAGCCGAGGCCAUGAGUAUACUGCAGAGGAAAGUGCUCUAGCACCAGACAAUGACUGGACUACGUCCAUGCAUACAUCAACUGCUGGCAGCAGAGCGUCCAUGUGUACUGGACUUGGCUCUGAAAUAAGGAACUAUACAAGUAUUUAGCGAAUGUUUGAGUGGUGAAUAAAUGCGUAAAGAACCAA